CGUGUAGGCGGGAAGAUAAGUCAGAUGUGAAAUUCCAUGGCUCAACUGUGGCGCUGCAUCUGAAACUAUUUUUCUUGAGUGAUGGAGAGGAAAGUGGAAUUCCUAGUGUAGCGGUGAAAUGCGUAGAUAUUAGGAGGAACACCAGUGGCGAAGGCGACUUUCUGGACAUUAACUGACGCUGAGGCGCGAAAGCGUGGGGAGCAAACAGGAUUAGAUACCCUGGUAGUCCACGCUGUAAACGAUGGAUACUAGGUGUAGGAGGUAUCGACCCCUUCUGUGCCGGAGUUAACACAAUAAGUAUCCCACCUGGGGAGUACGGCCGCAAGGUUGAA
rnacentral:rRNA from 2 species